rnacentral:rRNA from 2 species
AAUGAAUAAAUUUUAAUGGCCGCAGUAUUUUGACUGUGCAAAGGUAGCAUAAUCAAUAGUCUUUUAAUUGAAGGCUUGAAUGAAUGGUUGGACGAAGUAUAAUCUGUUUCAUUUAAAUUUAUUAUAGAAUUUUAUAUUUUAGUAAAAAAGCUAAAAUAUUUUUAAAAGACGAGAAGACCCUAUAAAUCUUUAUAGUUUAUAUUAUUUUUAUUUUUUAGAUUUAUUUUAUUUAAAUAAUUUAAAUUAUUUUGUUGGGGUGAUAUUAAAAUUUAAUAAACUUUUAAUUUAAUUUAUUUCAUUAAUUUAUGUUUUAUUGAUCCAUUAAUAAUGAUUAAAAGAAUAAGUUACUUUAGGGAUAACAGCGUAAUUUUUUUGGAGAGUUCUUAUUGAUAAAAAAGUUUGCGACCUCGAUGUUGGAUUAAGAAAUAAUUUUAGGUGUAGUUGCUUAAG